rnacentral:rRNA from 1 species
AUGGCGAUCGACGAGCAAAACAAAAGCAAGAGAGGGACGCCAGCGGGUGUUCCCCACUCUGCCAAGUCCAAGACGGGGCAGAAGAUGGUCCAUCGAAGGCGCUCUUUGCUUGAUGAAGGCAGCAGCAGCCGAAACGAAGACGGCGGCGGCGACGAUUUUGAGCGUACGGCUAUGGGAGGGACGCCAGCGGGUGAUUCCCCCCAUUCUGCCAGGACCAAGAUGGGACAGAAAAUGUCAUUGGCGCAUCGAAGGCUCUCUUUGCUUGACGAUGGCAGUAGAAUCAGUAGACACAUUGCUGCUGCUGCUGCUGCGGCUGAUGAUGAUGGUGGUGGUUCUGAGCAGAUGGGUGAGGAGUUCACUGUUGAUGUUGCUCAGAAGAAUACGGCAGUUGAUGACAGCGAUGAUCCAGAUGGUAGCGGGGAUGACUUUGUUCCAUUGAUAAUGAUGAGAACCAAGAAUGUGAAGAGUGAGCCUGGAAAGCAUCCCGGCUUCCGAUAUAAACACAAAGCCCAGAGAACUAUCAAUAAAACUUAUAAAAGGAAGAAGACAGGGAGGUCAGCAGGUCCAGUAUAUGCCAAGAGAAAGAUAGAGAAGAAGCCAAGAUUGGUUGGCAGCAACAACAUUAGUAAGAUAUCUGAUGAUGAUGGCCAGAAGAAAUAUGCAAGAGCUUUGGAGGUAGAAAAGAAAUUGCCAGCAGAAGGUCCGAGCUUCGUCAAGCUUAUGCAGAUAUCACAUGUUGUAAGGGUUUUUUGGCUGGGUGUCCCGGUUAGCUUUUGCAGAGAGCAUCUUCCAAACCAUGAUGUUACAAUUGUAUUAGAAGAUGAGGAUGGCCUCCGGUUUGAUACAAAUUAUCUAGCGCGCAAGCAGGGCCUCAGUGGUGGGUGGAGUAGAUUUGCAACACGACAUCAUCUUAAGGUCGGCGAUGCCGUGGUCUUUCAACUCGUGGAACAAACAAGAUUCAAGGUGUAUAUACUGAGAGAGAGUAAGUUCACUACAACCGAUGGAGCACUCAGUCUCCUGAGUUUAGACACGUCCAUGGAAAACAACAUGCCCGAAAAAGGAGGAGAAGAUACUUCUGAUGAAGAUGUCAAGUCCAAGGAGGAUCCAGAAGUCACCAAAGUCAUCACCAACAAAGCAUCCGAUGACGAUAGCAACGACCCUUUUAGUGAAGCAGCAGCAAACGGAGGCAUCAGAUCCCCAGAUCCAGACCCUGAUUUCGACGCCGUGAAAACAUUCAGAGCCUUCAAGAUGGUCAUCGACAGUUCUGUCAUCGACCGCAAACUAGUCCCUGAUCGCCUGCUUUGGACGUACUACAAGCUCUGCGGCGACCGGAAGGCGUUCCUCCACAGGCGUCUGCCGAAGCACAUAAACCUGACGCUAGCAGCAGGGGUGAUAGUAGAGACGGCCAGCAUCGCUGAGGGCAUCAGGUCCUAUCCCUCCUCCUGCUCUUCCUGCGAGGACCUCGCGGCGUGGAAGAAGACCCUAGAGUCCUUCGAGCUGCUGGGAAUGGACGUGGGCUUCAUACGCAAGCGCCUCGAUGAGCUCCUUUUCCUCCUUGACGCCCGGUCAUCGGAUGAUCAUCUGCCGGAGGGGUACGAGGAGGUGAAGCUGGAGCGUGCUCGUGCAGCAGAGAAGGUGAAGGCCCUCGAGUCGAAGAUGGCGAGCCUGAAGGAUGCUCUCAAGGAUAUGGACAUGGAGAUGGAGGAGAUCGCGGAGAAGAGGAGGGGCCAUGCUAUGCUGCAGCUGGCGGCCGCGCCAUGGUGA